ACAGGUGGUCUAGAGGUUAGAGAGGUGGUAGACAGGUGGUCUAGAGGUUAGAGAGGUGGUAGACAGGUGGUCUAGAGGUUAGAGAGGUGGUCUAGAGGUUAGAGAGGUGGUAGACAGGUGGUCUAGAGGUUAGAGAGGUGGUCUAGAGGUUAGAGAGGUGGUAGACAGGUGGUCUAGAGGUUAGAGAGGUGGUAGACAGGUGGUCUAGAGGUUAGAGAGGUGGUCUAGAGGUUAGAGAGGUGGUCUAGAGGUUGGAUAGGUGGUCUAGAGGUUGGAGAGGUGGUCUAGAGGUGGUCUAGAGGUUAGAGAGGUGGUAGACAGGUGGUCUAGAGGUUAGAGAGGUGGUCUAGAGGUUAGAGAGGUGGUAGACAGGUGGUCUAGAGGUUAGAGAGGUGGUCUAGAGGUUAGAGAGGUGGUAGACAGGUGGUCUAGAGGUUAGAGAGGUGGUAAACAGGUGGUCUAGAGGUUAGAGAGGUGGUCUAGAGGUUAGAGAGGUGGUAGACAGGUGGUCUAGAGGUUAGAGAGGUGGUCUAGAGGUUAGAGAGGUGGUCUAGAGGUUGGAUAGGUGGUCUAGAGGUGGUCUAGAGGUUAGAGAGGUGGUCUAGAGGUUAGAGAGGUGGUAGACAGGUGGUCUAGAGGUUAGAGAGGUGGUCUAGAGGUUAGAGAGGUGGUAGACAGGUGGUCUAGAGGUUAGAGAGGUGGUCUAGAGGUUAGAGAGGUGGUCUAGAGGUUAGAGAGGUGGUAGACAGGUGGUCUAGAGGUUAGAGAGGUGGUCUAGAGGUUAGAGAGGUGGUCUAGAGGUUGGAUAGGUGGUCUAGAGGUGGUCUAGAGGUUAGAGAGGUGGUCUAGAGGUGGUAGACAGGUGGUCUAGAGGUUAGAGAGGUGGUCUAGAGGUUAGAGAGGUGGUAGACAGGUUGUCUAGAGGUUAGAGAGGUGGUCUAGAGGUUAGAUAGGUGGUCUAGAGGUUAGAGAGGUGGUAAACAGGUGGUCUAGAGGUUAGAGAGGUGGUCUAGAGGUUAGAGAGGUGGUCUAGAGGUUAGAGAGGUGGUCUAGAGGUUGGAUAGGUGAUCUAGAGGUUGGAGAGGUGGUCUAGAGAUGGUCUAGAGGUUAGAGAGGUGGUCUAGAGGUGGUAGACAGGUGGUCUAGAGGUUAGAGAGGUGGUCUAGAGGUUAGAGAGGUGGUCUAGAGGUUAGAGAGGUGGUAGACAGGUGGUCUAGAGGUUAGUGAGGUGGUCUAGAGGUUAGAGAGGUGGUCUAGAGGUUGGAUAGGUGGUCUAGAGGUUGGAGAGGUGGUCUAGAGGUGGUCUAGAGGUUAGAGAGGUGGUAGACAGGUGGUCUAGAGGUUAGAGAGGUGGUCUAGAGGUUAGAGAGGUGGUAGACAGGUGGUCUAGAGGUUAGAGAGGUGGUCUAGAGGUUAGAGAGGUGGUAGACAGGUGGUCUAGAGGUUAGAGAGGUGGUCUAGAGGUUAGAGAGGUGGUAGACAGGUGGUCUAGAGGUUAGAGAGGUGGUCUAGAGGUUAGAGAGGUGGUAGACAGGUGGUCUAGAGGUUAGAGAGGUGGUCUAGAGGUUAGAGUGGUGGUAGACAGGUGGUCUAGAGGUUAGAGAGGUGGUAGACAGGUGGUCUAGAGGUUAGAGAGGUGGUAGACAGGUGGUCUAGAGGUUAGAGAGGUGGUAGACAGGUGGUCUAGAGGUUAGAGAGGUGGUAGACAGGUGGUCUAGAGGUUAGAGAGGUGGUAGACAGGUGGUCUAGAGGUUAGAGAGGUAGUCUAGAGGUUGGAUAGGUGGUCUAGAGGUGGUCUAGAGGUUAGAGAGGUGGUCUAGAGGUUAGAGAGGUGGUAGACAGGUAGUCUAGAGGUUAGAGAGGUGGUCUAGAGGUUAGAGAGGUGGUCUAGAGGUUAGAGAGGUGGUAGACAGGUGGUCUAGAGGUUAGAGAGGUGGUAAACAGGUGGUCUAGAGGUUAGAGAGGUGGUCUAGAGGUUGGAUAGGUGGUCUAGAGGUUGGAGAGGUGGUCUAGAGGUGGUCUAGAGGUUAGAGAGGUGGUAGACAGGUGGUCUAGAGGUUAGAGAGGUGGUCUAGAGGUUAGAGAGGUGGUAGACAGGUGGUCUAGAGGUUAGAGAGGUGGUCUAGAGGUUAGAGAGGUGGUCUAGAGGUUAGAGAGGUGGUCUAGAGGUUAGAGAGGUGGUAGACAGGUGGUCUAGAGGUUAGAGAGGUGGUAAACAGGUGGUCUAGAGGUUAGAGAGGUGGUCUAGAGGUUAGAGAGGUGGUAGACAGGUGGUCUAGAGGUUAGAGAGGUGGUCUAGAGGUUAGAGAGGUGGUAGACAGGUGGUCUAGAGGUUAGAGAGGUGGUCUAGAGGUUAGAGAGGUGGUCUAGAGGUUAGAGAGGUGGUAGACAGGUGGUCUAGAGGUUAGAGAGGUAGUCUAGAGGUUAGAGAGGUGGUAGACAGGUGGUCUAGAGGUUAGAGAGGUGGUAGACAGGUGGUCUAGAGGUUAGAGAGGUAGUCUAGAGGUUAGAGAGGUGGUCUAGAGGUUGGAUAGGUGGUCUAGAGGUGGUCUAGAGGUUAGAGAGGUGGUCUAGAGGUGGUAGACAGGUGGUCUAGAGGUUAGAGAGGUGGUCUAGAGGUUAGUGAGGUGGUAGACAGGUUGUCUAGAGGUUAGAGAGGUGGUCUAGAGGUUAGAUAGGUGGUCUAGAGGUGGUAGACAGGUGGUCUAGAGGUUAUAGAGGUAGUCUAGAGGUUAGAGAGGUGGUAGACAGGUGGUCUAGAGGUUAGAGAGGUGGUAAACAGGUGGUCUAGAGGUUGGAUAGGUGGUCUAGAGGUUGGAUAGGUGGUCUAGAGGUUGGAUAGGUGGUCUAGAGGUUGGAGAGGUGGUCUAGAGGUGGUCUAGAGGUUAGAGAGGUGGUAGACAGGUGGUCUAGAGGUUAGAGAGGUGGUGUAGAGGUUAGAGAGGUGGUCUAGAGAUGGUAGACAGGUGGUCUAGAGGUUAGAGAGGUAGUCUAGAGGUUAGAGAGGUGGUCUAGAGAGGUGGUCUAGAGGUUGGAGAGGUGGUCUAGAGGUGGUAGACAGGUGGUCUAGAGGUUAUAGAGGUAGUCUAGAGGUUAGAGAGAUGGUAGACAGGUGGUCUAGAGGUUAGAGAGGUGGUAGACAGGUGGUCUAGAGGUUAGAUAGGUGGUCUAGAGGUUGGAGAGGUGGUCUAGAGGUGGUAGACAGGUGGUCUAGAGGUUAUAGAGGUAGUCUAGAGGUUAGAGAGGUGGUAGACAGGUGGUCUAGAGGUUAGAGAGGUGGUAAACAGGUGGUCUAGAGGUUAGAGAGGUGGUCUAGAGGUUGGAUAGGUGGUCUAGAGGUUGGAUAGGUGGUCUAGAGGUUGGAGAGGUGGUCUAGAGGUGGUCUAGAGGUUAGAGAGGUGGUAGACAGGUGGUCUAGAGGUUAGAGAGGUGGUGUAGAGGUUAGAGAGGUGGUCUAGAGAUGGUAGACAGGUGGUCUAGAGGUUAGAGAGGUAGUCUAGAGGUUGGAUAGGUGGUCUAGAGGUGGUAGACAGGUGGUCUAGAGGUUAGAGAGGUGGUGUAGAGGUUAGAGAGGUGGUAGACAGGUGGUCUAGAGGUUAGAUAGGUGGUCUAGAGGUGGUAGACAGGUGGUCUAGAGGUUGGAGAGGUGGUCUAGAGGUUGGAGAGGUGGUCUAGAGGUUGGAGAGGUGGUCUAGAGGUUGGAGAGGUGGUCUAGAGGUUGGAGAGGUGGUCUAGAGGUUGGAGAGGUGGUCUAGAGGUUAGAGAGGCGGUCUAGAGGUUAGACAGGCGGUCUAGAGGUUAGAGAGGUGGUCUAGAGAUUGGAUAGGUGGUCUAGAGGUUGGAGAGGUGGUCUAGAGGUGGUAGACAGGUGGUCUAGAGGUUAUAGAGGUAGUCUAGAGGUUAGAGAGGUGGUAGACAGGUGGUCUAGAGGUUAGAGAGGUGGUAAACAGGUGGUCUAGAGGUUAGAGAGGUGGUCUAGAGGUUGGAUAGGUGGUCUAGAGGUUGGAUAGGUGGUCUAGAGGUUGGAUAGGUGGUCUAGAGGUUGGAUAGGUGGUCUAGAGGUUGGAUAGGUGGUCUAGAGGUUGGAUAGAGGUUAGAGAGGUGGUAGACAGGUGGUCUAGAGGUUAGAGAGGUGGUGUAGAGGUUAGAGAGGUGGUCUAGAGAUGGUAGACAGGUGGUCUAGAGGUUAGAGAGGUAGUCUAGAGGUUGGAGAGGUGGUCUAGAGGUUGGAGAGGUGGUCUAGAGGUUAGACAGGCG